UAUAGCAUGCUUGCAGGAGACGAAGUGGAAGGGACAGAGAGCAAGAGAAAUUGGGGCGGGUUAUAAGUUUUAUUAUUGCGGCUGCGAUGGGAAAAGAAAUGGCGUAGGUAUAGUGUUAGAUAGAGAGCUCAAGAACAAGAGAGUAUUUUCCUGCUAUAUUACA